UACGGAGGGUGCGAGCGUUGUCCGGAAUCACUGGGCGUAAAGGGCGCGUAGGCGGCGCGGGCAGUCAACGGUGAAAGCUCGGAGCUCAACUCCGAGUCGGCCGUCGAUACUCCCGUGCUUGAGCACUGUAGAGGCAGAUGGAAUUCCGGGUGUAGCGGUGGAAUGCGUAGAGAUCCGGAAGAACACCGGUGGCGAAGGCGAGCUG
rnacentral:rRNA from 1 species